rnacentral:rRNA from 1 species
UACGGAGGGUGCAAGCGUUAUCCGGAUUUAUUGGGUUUAAAGGGUCCGUAGGCGGAUCUGUAAGUCAGUGGUGAAAUCUCAUAGCUUAACUAUGAAACUGCCAUUGAUACUGCAGGUCUUGAGUGAGAUUGAGGUAGCUGGAAUAAGUAGUGUAGCGGUGAAAUGCAUAGAUAUUACUUAGAACACCAAUUGCGAAGGCAGGUUACCAAGUCUUAACUGACGCUGAUGGAC